rnacentral:piRNA from 1 species
UGGAUGGAUUCGCCAUUGCACCGCAGGUU